GGCCGACUCUGACACUGAGAGACGAAAGUUAGGGGAGCGAAUGGGAUUAGUUACCCCAGUAGUCCUAGCCGAAACGAUGGAUACUAGGUGCUGUGCGUAUCGACCCGUGCAGUGCUGUAGCUACGCGUUAAGUAUCCCGCCUGGGAGUACGUUCGCAAGAAUGAAACUCAAAGGAAUGACGGGGGCCCGCACAAGCGGUGGAGCAUGUGGUUUAAUUCGAUGCAAGCGAAGAACCUUACCAGGGCUUGACAUGCCGCCAAUCCUCUUGAAAGAGAGGGGUGCCUUCGGAAACGCGGACACAGGUGGUGCAUGGCUGUCAUCAGCUCGUGCCGUAAGGUGAUGGGUUAAGUCCCGCAACGAACGCAACCCUCGUUUUAGUUGCCACCGUUGAGUUUUGGAACCCUGAACAGACUGCUGGUGAUAAGCCGGAGGAAGGAGAGGAUGAGGCCAAGUCAUCAUGCCCCUUAUGGCCUGGGCGACACACGUGCUACAAUGGGCGGGACAAAGGGUCGCGAUCUCGCGAGGGUGAGCUAACUCCAAAACCCGUCCUCAGUUCGGAUUGCAAGCUGCAACUCGCCUGCAUGAAGCCGGAAUCGCUAGUGAUCGCCGGUCAGCCAUACGGCGGUGAAUCCGUUCCCGGGCCUUGUACACACCGCCCGUCACACUAUAGGAGCUGGCCAUGCCCGAAGUCGUUACCUUAACCGUAAGGAGGGGGAUGCCUAAGGCUAGGCUUGCGACUAGAGUGAAGUCGUAACAAGGUAGCCGUACUGGAAGGUGCGGCUG
rnacentral:rRNA from 1 species